rnacentral:rRNA from 1 species
UACGAAGGGGGCUAGCGUUGCUCGGAAUCACUGGCGUAAAGCGCACGUAGGCGGAUCUUUAAGUCAGGGGUGAAAUCCUGGAGCUCAACUCCAGAACUGCCUUUGAUACUGGGGAUCUCGAGUCCGGGAGAGGUGAGUGGAACUGCGAGUGUAGAGGUGAAAUUCGUAGAUAUUCGCAAGAACACCAGUGGCGAAGGCGGCUCACUGGCCCGGUACUGACGCUGAGGUGCGAAAGCGUGGGGAGCAACAGGG